rnacentral:piRNA from 1 species
AUGAGUUACCUUUGGUGAUCAAGG